rnacentral:rRNA from 1 species
CAUAGGUUAAUGAGGCGAACCGGGGGAACUGAAACAUCUAAGUACCCCGAGGAAAAGAAAUCAACCGAGAUUCCCCCAGUAGCGGCGAGCGAACGGGGAGGAGCCCAGAGCCUGAAUCAGUGUGUGUGUUAGUGGAAGCGUCUGGAAAGGCGCGCGAUACAGGGUGACAGCCCCGUACACAAAAAUGCACAUGCUGUGAGCUCGAUGAGUAGGGCGGGACACGUGGUAUCCUGUCUGAAUAUGGGGGGACCAUCCUCCAAGGCUAAAUACUCCUGACUGACCGAUAGUGAACCAGUACCGUGAGGGAAAGGCGAAAAGAACCCCGGCGAGGGGAGUGAAAAAGAACCUGAAACCGUGUACGUACAAGCAGUGGGAGCCUCUUUAUGGGGUGACUGCGUACCUUUUGUAUAAUGGGUCAGCGACUUAUAUUCUGUAGCAAGGUUAACCGAAUAGGGGAGCCGAAGGGAAACCGAGUCUUAACUGGGCGUUAAGUUGCAGGGUAUAGACCCGAAACCCGGUGAUCUAGCCAUGGGCAGGUUGAAGGUUGGGUAACACUAACUGGAGGACCGAACCGACUAAUGUUGAAAAAUUAGCGGAUGACUUGUGGCUGGGGGUGAAAGGCCAAUCAAACCGGGAGAUAGCUGGUUCUCCCCGAAAGCUAUUUAGGUAGCGCCUCGUGAAUUCAUCUCCGGGGGUAGAGCACUGUUUCGGCAAGGGGGUCAUCCCGACUUACCAACCCGAUGCAAACUGCGAAUACCGGAGAAUGUUAUCACGGGAGACACACGGCGGGUGCUAACGUCCGUCGUGAAGAGGGAAACAACCCAGACCGCCAGCUAAGGUCCCAAAGUCAUGGUUAAGUGGGAAACGAUGUGGGAAGGCCCAGACAGCCAGGAUGUUGGCUUAGAAGCAGCCAUCAUUUAAAGAAAGCGUAAUAGCUCACUGGUCGAGUCGGCCUGCGCGGAAGAUGUAACGGGGCUAAACCAUGCACCGAAGCUGCGGCAGCGACACUAUGUGUUGUUGGGUAGGGGAGCGUUCUGUAAGCCUGUGAAGGUGUACUGUGAGGUAUGCUGGAGGUAUCAGAAGUGCGAAUGCUGACAUAAGUAACGAUAAAGCGGGUGAAAAGCCCGCUCGCCGGAAGACCAAGGGUUCCUGUCCAACGUUAAUCGGGGCAGGGUGAGUCGACCCCUAAGGCGAGGCCGAAAGGCGUAGUCGAUGGGAAACAGGUUAAUAUUCCUGUACUUGGUGUUACUGCGAAGGGGGGACGGAGAAGGCUAUGUUGGCCGGGCGACGGUUGUCCCGGUUUAAGCGUGUAGGCUGGUUUUCCAGGCAAAUCCGGAAAAUCAAGGCUGAGGCGUGAUGACGAGGCACUACGGUGCUGAAGCAACAAAUGCCCUGCUUCCAGGAAAAGCCUCUAAGCAUCAGGUAACAUCAAAUCGUACCCCAAACCGACACAGGUGGUCAGGUAGAGAAUACCAAGGCGCUUGAGAGAACUCGGGUGAAGGAACUAGGCAAAAUGGUGCCGUAACUUCGGGAGAAGGCACGCUGAUAUGUAGGUGAAGCGACUUGCUCGUGGAGCUGAAAUCAGUCGAAGAUACCAGCUGGCUGCAACUGUUUAUUAAAAACACAGCACUGUGCAAACACGAAAGUGGACGUAUACGGUGUGACGCCUGCCCGGUGCCGGAAGGUUAAUUGAUGGGGUUAGCGGUAACGCGAAGCUCUUGAUCGAAGCCCCGGUAAACGGCGGCCGUAACUAUAACGGUCCUAAGGUAGCGAAAUUCCUUGUCGGGUAAGUUCCGACCUGCAC